CUCACAGGAAGACCUCCCCAGCAGUCUUUGCUGCCUGCAGAAGCUAAGCAUUCUUGCUCAUCCUACAGGAGAAACUGAAACUCAGAAUUUCUCUCUGUUACCUCUUUCUAUUAUAUGGACUCCUCAGAAAGACCAGCCUCAGGUCACCAUAACAUAUUUGACAAAGGCAGCAACACUCCCUUGACAAAAAGGCUUUCUUUGGAUUGGGGUGAAGAAAUGAUGGGUUCCUCAUGAGCGAAAUGGAGGUCUAAGACUCAAAAUUUCGGUUGAGGGGCCUUUGCUGAGAUGCAAACCUCAUAACCUGAAUGGAUGCAUGGCUGUAAUCCCUGCGCACACUCAAGAGAAAGCCAGAUCUGACUGGUGAGAAGAAUCAUGAAUUUGAGCCAAAUUCCAGGGCACUCAGUAUCUACUUUGGCACCUGAAGCAGUCAGUCAGUCCUCCCCACCCAGAGCUCUCAUCAUCCUUCGGCCUUAGGAAUUCGUGAUUGGCUGAUUAUUUCUGCUAUCACAGAGAUGGAAGGCUGAUUAAUUACCAUCGUUUGGUGCCUAUUCUUUGGAUUAACUUUCAAAACCUUAAUCAAUGUGUGGAUGUGCAGCCACGUGUGUAAUACAUGCAGACGCGCUUACACUGAAGGCACCCUCUCUUUGCUACUGCCAUAGGAACAUCUUCAGCUGCCUCUUGGAUAAUCUCGGUGUUCUUCAGAGUGUUGCCAAAAGUGUGUGGACUUGGACUUCGUGGGCUGAGAAGGAAAGGUGGCAGCAGCAGAAGCAGCUCAGGCACCAACACCUCUGUGAGCACCUCCAAUGAGAGAGCUGCACACAGUGUCUUCUGUCUCGUAGGCUGGGGCUCAGUACUUACAAAUGGAUAAUUGAUUGGUCAGGCAGCAGGUGGUAGCGCCAGUACACACCCUAACCCUUAAUCCUAGCAGGGACAGGUGGGUCUCUAUGAAUCAAGGCCAGCCUGGUUUACAGAGCUAGUUUCUGGGUAGCUAGGGCUACACGGAUAAACCCUGCCUCAAAAAAAAAAAAAAAAAAAAAAAAAAAAUAUUUAAAAUGGGUAAUUAUAAAUAAAGUAUUUUCUUGAGAUCUGGAGAAGGAAAUCUUUGGAAUCUUAAUUUAUAAUCACAGUUGAUCAGAAGGUGCAAACCUGUACUGGAAAAGGGGAGCGUUCUUAUGGGGCUGAGCCUUGCCCUGUGGAACCCAACACUACUGCUUCCAGGUAGACCAGGCCAGAAUUCUGAAGAGAAUCAGAGGCUUCCUGCGGGUGUUCCCUGGAGAAUCUACGGCAGAAUGCAUUGGCUGGGGUGUGCAGGGUGGCACAAUUGUUUUUCACUGUGAGAAGGUAGGCAGAGAAACUGAGUUGGUUUUAUUUAUUUAUUUUUCCUUACACCUUCCAGUUACUAGUCUGAGAGGAAAAAUUUAAAAACUCACACUCGGCAAAGCUGUGUUUAGCAGAGAGAUAGUACCUGUAUUUUACCCUUUAUAUUUUUAUCUUUUACACUUUUUAAGGUACUGCCUGCCCUAGACUGAGCAGGCAUGUUCUAAUCUUAAUUUGGCUCUUUUUUUGAAAGUUCUUUUUAGAUUUAUUUUAUUUUGUGUGUAUGAGUAUUUUGCCUGCAUGUUUGUAAGUAUACCACAUGCAUGCUGGGGCCUGUGGACUUGAGAAGAAGACAUCAGAUUUCCUAGAACUGGAAUUACAGGUGGUUAUGAGCCACAGUGUGGGUACUGGGAACUGAGCCUGCAUCCUCUGCAGAGCAGCAAUGUCUUUAACCACCGAGCCAUCCCUCUAUCCUCAUAAUUUGGUUCUUUAUGUAGGUGACUUCAUAGGAAGAAAAUGCUGAUGGAGCUUACUAGGCUGGCCUAGGAUGAUGUGGUGACUUUGAGUACAAGUAAAUGCAUUUUCCCAGUUUGUUCAUCAGCCUCUGUGAUGAUAUACUCUCAAGUGGGCUGACAAAUGGGGUUUUGGAGACAAGAAGGCUUCGAACCAAGGAAUACUAGCAAGGAAUGUGCCCUUUACUCUGCUGGAGGCAGGCUGUAUCUAGUUCUUCUCCGUCCUCAGUUUGCAGCCCAAGGCCUGGCCCCAGCAGAGGCUGAUUUAUCUGCACUAACAAUCCUUACUAUUAAAGCCCAUUCUAUAAUUGUAACCUCAUUUUGUAAUUAAUUUUUUAAAAAAUCACAUAAUCUAAGAUUUUUCAACUUUCAAAAAUUUAUCCAUAUCAACCUAUUAUUAUAUACACUAAUUUAAGAAAAAUUUUCAGGGUAAGCUAAGGGUUUAGCCCAGUGGUAGAACACUGGUUUAGCAUGUGCAAAGGCCUGGGAUCAAUCCCUGGAAAUGGAAAAUAUAUGUUUAAAAUUAUUUAUGUACGUGUGUGUGUACACAUACAAAAUGAACAAAUAACCAUCCAUAGAGAAAAUUUUGUUAAUAUUUUAGUAUAUACAUACUCUGGGUAAUUUUAGUAAAUAUGUACAAAUAUAUAUAUAUUACAAAAAUGGAGUUUUACCAUAAUGCAGUUUUGUACCUUGCCUUCUUUCUCUUGUUUUUGGUGGUGGAGGAGGGGCUGAGACAGCAUCUUUCUUUGUAGCCCUGGCUGGCUUAAUCUUGGCUUUGUAGCCCCAGAAGGCUCCUAAGCCUCCCAGGUGCUAGGAUCACAGACAUGUGCUAAAGCUUGCCUUUUUAAAAGCUUGACAUAGGGGCUGGAAAGAUAGUCCAGUGGUGAAGAGCAAAAUUUUCUCUAUGGAUGGUUAGAACCCUGACUAACCCAAGUUUUGGUACUAAGUGAUUUUAGAGCAACAGAAGUAUAAGAAUGGAUCUUUAAAGUAUCUGGAACAAAUGUUCCAAUGUGCCAGCAACUAUAGUUAUUUACUGAAGCCUCUCCUAGAAGCUUGGAGAACACUAAAAGCCCACUGAGUGGAGAUUCUAGGUUCAGUACAGAAGCUCAAACAGUUAAAAAAAAAAAAAAGGUGUUUGUCAAAAGAGGGCCUACUAAAAAGGAGUUGGGCACCACAUGUAAAACCUAAUCUUCUACAGUGGGAGGCCCAGAGCACAUGCCCCUCACUGGUCCUAUAAGACACAAAAUGGUGAGAGGAACACCAGCACAUCUGAAGAGUUUUGUUGUCAUUACCCUUUUCAUUGUGCCAGAUCUUAGGGCUGGAGAUGCUGCUGCUCAUUUGGAUGGAUUAAAUGUAGUGGGCUUGAUUGGGCCCCAGAGUAGAGGGGCCAGGAGGCAACACUGAAUCACUAAAGGUAAGAUGAUAGUACUUAUUGCAAUGGGUACUAUAGGCAAAGUGAUUUUUAUGGUAACAUGACUCGUAUAGACCUUUGGUACUAGCUAAUCAGUCACAAUGUUUCCAGGCUUGAAAUAGAAGAAUAAAAUCUUUAUUUUAAAAAAAUAACUUUUGGAAGUACUUUUGAUAAGUUCAACAUAUGGGGAAAAUGGGCUAUAAAGCAUUGCUAUGAUUUCAUUUUAAGUUUAAAGUGUAUCUCUUUAAAAUGAGAGAAAUGAUUUUGAAGGUUCACCUUUAGACCUCAUUUAAAUUCCUGAUUCUGCUUUUCCAGCAGUUUUGUCUUAGACAGGUUAUUUCAGCUUUCUGAGUCUUUUUCAUUCCUGAAGGAGCCCUACAUUCUCCUUUGUAAGUUUGUUUCAAACACUGGGUCAGCUUAUACAGUCCUUGGGCAACUUGGGUCUGCUCGACUCAUACACCGAUGGGCAAUGAAACCACAGGGCAGACUUGUAGGUAUUUCAGGGUUAGUUUGUUUGAAACCCAUUCUAGGAAUUCUUAUUAAAUUUGGCCUUGUUACUAAAUUUACUUCCUAGGUCUGUAAUAAUAAACUGAAGGGUCAGAAUUUAGACACAUACUUUCUAAAUCAGAAUGUGUGUAGAUGUCCGUGUUUACACUUUACAGCUCCAAAUUUAUAAUGAUUUGGUGUGGGGGUUUUCUGCUUUACAAUGGUGUAGCAGCCUUAACCUUCAGCAGACACCAUGCUUCAAGUUUCCUCAGGCUAGGUAUGUGCAGUAUGGUACUGUCUCACAUUGCUGGGCAGUAGCAGGAAGCCACAGCUUUUAGCAGCCAAUAUUUUAGAGUGUGCUGUGUUGCCAUACUACAAUGUUUGGAAGCCUAAUCACAUUAAAUAUAUUUUGAUAUGAUAUUUCAAAUUAUUAAGGGUUUAUUGGGACAUGACACCAUUGUAAAUCCAGGAAUGCUUGUAUCAUCUAGGUUGGCAUAUGUGUGAAAGAGAGUUUGGAUCCUUAACCCCUGAAUAUUUUACCCCCCCCCCCCCAUGGAGACAGCUCUCUUAUUUGAAUAGAGGGUAUAGAUGUUACUUACUGUUCUGUUUUGUUCUGUUUGUUGUUCUUCAGGCUAGUAACGUGACCCUCAUCCCUAUAACAAUCUGCAAAAUGAGCAGGUCUUCAAGUUUAAGCAGGUCCCCUGGGUCCUUUGCCCUCAGGGCUACACCUUAACUAUGUUCUGAAAGAACAGGAAAUAGAACCAAAGGAAAAAGAACCCUUCCCCUUUAGCCCUAACAGGACUGUCUCCUUCACCAACUUUAGUUAAACUCCCUUUCCCCUCUUUUACAGCAGGUCUUUACCUUGGUGUCCAUCCUCGCUGGGCCUGACUAGCCCAGGUUAGCAAGAAUCUUGCUAAGUGAGUUGUAUCUGAUCAAAUUCUUUAUCCUCCAGCCUUGUGUUUGAGUCUUCAGCUUCCUUCGGUAAGAGUCCUAUCAAAUCCACUUAGUAAAGCAACAAAAAGCUGGGUGUGGCAGUACAGACCAGAGGCAGAGGCAGGCAGAUCUUUGUGAGCUUGAGGCCAGCCUGCCGCACAUAGUGAGUUACAUGACAGUUAGGGGUAUGCAAAUAGACCCCACCUACCCUACCCCACACAAAAAAAUCAUGUCAUUUCUUAGUAAUUCUUGGAAAGUUUUUAUCCACUGACACCCUUCCUUCUCAGAGGCUGCCAAUGCCUAUCUGUCCAUAUUGUGUUCAGGGUUAAGACAGAUUGCUUCACUCACUGCAAGACAGCAUUGUGGUAUUCCCUCAGAAUAAAAUCUACCUAUUUUUUUUAAACAAUUGUUAUAUAUUUUUUUUUUCUUUAAUAAUCUUAACAAAUCCAGUCCAGGUUACCACAGAGAACCAUUUUUUAAAAUCUAAAGACUUAAAUAGGAGGCAGCCGGGAAGGCCAUUACAUGGCUAGGCAAAUGCUUUUUACUGCUUAGCACCUUCCAUUCUGAGCACCACCCUUAGCAAUAAAACCCGUGUGUCCUUGACCCGUAUAAAGCAACUCCCCAUUCCCCCCACCCCUCGCCCAGCAGUGGAGUUUGUGUAAGCAAAUUCUUGUUUUUUGUUUUUUGUUUUUUUUUUUAAGCAAAUCCUUGUACUCCCCCUAGAGGUUAGAAUGGAUAUGGAACCAACUGUGUAUGGUGUCUUGUUGCUUUUAACUAAAGCUGGAAUUUCAUUUUCUGUCUCCAGGAAACUAGCAGAGGAUUAGAAAUGUCCUGCCUUUGAGCAGCUGUUUUCUCAGUUCUUGCUUAGAUGGGCCGUCAAACCCAUUUUUGAAGUAUGCUUUGAUGUUAUACCCAGGGAGCCAGCGACUCCAACAGAACUUUCUGUCAAGUAAAACAACAAAAAAGUGGUUCUCCAAAUGUAUUCUGUGUAGCACCUGCAGAAAAUAUCCUGCUGUGUUUGUUUGAAUAAAGAUUUCUGGACCCUGCCCCAGCACCUUGGGAGAGAUGCAAUUCUUACACAUAUUAAGGUGUGAGAACCACUUGAGGACAUUAUUCCAAUCCAUAUCUCAUUGAAAACUGCAAAGCAAUGAAUCAAGCUCAUUAGACAGGAUUUUAUCCACAAGCCCAAUAUACCUUCUAGUCAUUCUCCCUGAACAUAGAUGUUGCAUCCUGACCACAAACCUGACAAACACCCUUCUUUUUUCAAUCUAGAUCCUUGAAUAUGCUUUAAAAACUUGUCUUCCUUAUCUACCUUCUUUUAUUUUGUCUAGAUAGAAGUGUAUCAAGUGGGCUGCUUGAUCUAAUGUCAGUCUCUGAUUCUGGGAAGCCAAUGGGUCAAAAGGUGUAUGACAGCAUUCCCGACAUAAAUCCUUUCUUUCUUUUCUUUCUUUCUUUUCUUUUCUUUCUUUCUUUCUUUCCUUCUUUUUUUUUUUUUUUAAGAAAGUAUUUAUGCCAGGUAUGGUGUCAUACACCUUUUGAUCCCAGCAUUCCGAGGCAGAGGCUCGAGGAUAUCUGAGUUUGUGGCCAGCCUGGUAUACAGAGCAAGUUCCAGUACAGCCAGGACUACACAGAGAAAACCUGUCUCAAAACAAAACAAAUAAACAUUUUAAAGAUUUAUUUAUAUUUUAUUUUACAUGUAUGAGUGUUUUGCCUGUGUGUACGUCUGAGCACCAUGUGUGUGUGGUGCCCACAGGGUCAAGAGAGAGUGUCAGGUCCCUGGGCCUGGAGUUGCAAAUGGUGGUUAGCUGUCAUUUGGGUGCUAGGAAUAGAAACCAGGUCAUCUGCCAGAUCAGCCGUUGCUCUUAACUGCUGAACCAUUUCUCCCACCCUAACUACCCCUUCUUUAAAAGUAUGUAAAGUUGAACUAAUUGUACAUAAAGACCACCACUGAAUUUAAGUAUAAUUUCUCUUUGGAAGUAUGUUUAAACUGCCCAUUCAAAGAACGCAUCCCCAGACCUUUUGCUUUGGUAGUUUUGAUUGGUGUGAGAAACCUAUAUUUUAUCAAGCAUCCCAACUUGGUGAUUCUGAUACAGGUGGCCAGGAGAUUUUUGCAGGUCUUUGUUUUGUUUGAGGUAGGAUCCCAUGUAUCCGAGACUGGCUUUGAACUCAAGAAUGACCUUGAGUUAUGAUCCUCCUGCUUCUACUUCCUAAGUGCUGUAAUUCCAGGCUCACGCCACCACACCCAGUUUUAUUCGGGGAUGAGGAUGUAACCCAAGGCUUGGUACACAUCAGGCAAAUGGUCCUCCAAGUAAGCUCUAUUCCAGAUCUCUUCAAUGAUAUCUUAAUAACUACUGUCUUAUAUGUCAGACUUUCCUAACAAGCAUAAUGUUUCUAGAAUGCUGUACAACCAAAUCCACACAGAACUUACAAACUACAAGUAUUUGAAGUUAAUAUGAAGAAAGAUAGUAGAGUUAGAGUGAUAUAUAAGUAGAACAGAAGUUGUAAUUUCACACCUUUUCUCUCAGUAUUGUAUUUUUCUUUUUUAUUCUUUCAUAUAUUACAUCCUGAUGGUAAUUUCCCCUCCUCUCCAGUUCCUAUCCCCACCUCCUCCCUUCCCCAGAUCCACUCCUCCUUUUCCUUUCAGGAAAGAUCAGGCCUCCGAGAGAUACCAACAAAACAUGGCAUAUCAAGUUACAAUAAGACUAGGUACACAACCUCAGAUCAAGGCUGGACAAGGCAACCCAGUUGGAGAAAAAGGGUUCCCAAAGCUGGCAGAAGAGUCCGAGACAGAUCCUCGAUCACUGUUAGGAGUCCCACAUGAACAAUAAGCUACACAACCAUAACAUAUGCAGAGGACCUAGGUCAGACCCAUACAGGCUUCCUCAUUACCAAUUCAGUCUCUGUGAGCCCCUAUGAGCCCUGGUUAGUUGAUUUUGUGGGCUGUGUUCUGGUGGUGUCCUUGACUCCUCCUGACUCCUAUGACCCUUUCUUCCUCU